rnacentral:rRNA from 1 species
CCUACGGGUGGCAGCAGUGGGGAAUAUUGCGCAAUGGGCGAAAGCCUGAUGCAGCAACGCCGCGUGAAGGAAGAAGGGUUUCGGCUCGUAAACUUCUAUCAACAGGGACGAAAGAAAUGACGGUACCGGACCAAGAAGCCCCGGCUAACUACGUGCCAGCAGCCGCGGCAAUACGUAGGGGGCAAGCGUUAUCCGGAUUUACUGGGUGUAAAGGGGGCGCAGACGGCAAUGCAAGCCAGGAGUGAAGGCCCGGGGCUCAACCCCGGGACUGCUGUUGGAACUGCAUGGCUGGAGUACAGGAGGGGCAGGCGGAAUUCCUAGUGUAGCGGUGAAAUGCGUAGAUAUUAGGAGGAACACCGGUGGCGAAGGCGGCCUGCUGGACUGUGACUGACGUUGAGGCCCGAAGGCGUGGGGAGCAAACAGGAUUAGAUACCCGAGUAGUC